rfam:Drosophila ficusphila unplaced genomic scaffold scf7180000453809, whole genome shotgun sequence
UUUUGUUGAAUGAUGACAUUUUCCAUGCACCACUCUGAUUAUUUUGUAGAUGAUUAUGGAUUUCUGAAUUAAA